AGCGGCGGACGGGUGAGUAACGCGUGGGUAACCUGCCUCAUACAGGGGGAUAACAGUCAGAAAUGACUGCUAAUACCGCAUAAGACCACGGUACCGCAUGGUACAGUGGUAAAAACUCCGGUGGUAUGAGAUGGACCCGCGUCUGAUUAGGUAGUUGGUGGGGUAACGGCCUACCAAGCCGACGAUCAGUAGCCGACCUGAGAGGGCGACCGGCCACAUUGGGACUGAGACACGGCCCAG
rnacentral:rRNA from 1 species